ensembl:rRNA 5S_rRNA 5S ribosomal RNA
UUUUACAGCCAUACUACCCUGAAUGUGCCGGGUCUCAUCUGAUCUUUCUAAGAAUGGUCAGGUCUGGUUAGUACUGGGAUGGGAGACUUCUAGAAGCUAAUUGCCCAGCAUCUGAGCUAUUUCCAGGGACUGUUGGAA